rnacentral:rRNA from 1 species
AAUGGGUCAGCGACUUAUAUUCUGUAGCAAGGUUAACCGUAUAGGGGAGCCGAAGGGAAACCGAGUCUUAACUGGGCGUUAAGUUGCAGGGUAUAGACCCGAAACCCGGUGAUCUAGCCAUGGGCAGGUUGAAGGUUGGGUAACACUAACUGGAGGACCGAACCGACUAAUGUUGAAAAAUUAGCGGAUGACCUGUGGCUGGGGGUGAAAGGCCAAUCAAACCGGGAGAUAGCUGGUUCUCCCCGAAAGCUAUUUAGGUAGCGCCUCGUGAACUCAUCUUCGGGGGUAGAGCACUGUUUCGGCUAGGGGGCCAUCCCGGCUUACCAACCCGAUGCAAACUACGAAUACCGAAGAAUGUUAUCACGGGAGACACACGGCGGGUGCUAACGUCCGUCGUGAAGAGGGAAACAACCCAGACCGCCAGCUAAGGUCCCAAAGUCAUGGUUAAGUGGGAAACGAUGUGGGAAGGCACAGACAGCCAGGAUGUUGGCUUAGAAGCAGCCAUCAUUUAAAGAAAGCGUAAUAGCUCACUGGUCGAGUCGGCCUGCGCGGAAGAUGUAACGGGGCUAAACCAUGCACCGAAGCUGCGGCAGCGACACUAUGUGUUGUUGGGUAGGGGAGCGUUCUGUAAGCCGUUGAAGGUGUGCUGUGAGGCAUGCUGGAGGUAUCAGAAGUGCGAAUGCUGACAUAAGUAACGAUAAAGCGGGUGAAAAGCCCGCUCGCCGGAAGACCAAGGGUUCCUGUCCAACGUUAAUCGGGGCAGGGUGAGUCGACCCCUAAGGCGAGGCCGAAAGGCGUAGUCGAUGGGAAACAGGUUAAUAUUCCUGUACUUGGUGUUACUGCGAAGGGGGGACGGAGAAGGCUAUGUCAGCCGGGCGACGGUUGUCCCGGUUUAAGCAUGUAGGCGGAGGUUCCAGGUAAAUCCGGUACCUUAUUAACGCUGAGGUGUGAUGACGAGGCACUACGGUGCUGAAGUGAUAAAUGCCCUGCUUCCAGGAAAAGCCUCUAAGCAUCAGGUAACACGAAAUCGUACCCCAAACCGACACAGGUGGUCAGGUAGAGAAUACCAAGGCGCUUGAGAGAACUCGGGUGAAGGAACUAGGCAAAAUGGUGCCGUAACUUCGGGAGAAGG